rnacentral:tRNA from 1 species
GGGCGUAUGGUCUAGUGGUAUGAUUUCUGUUUUGCAUACAGAAGGUCCCGCGUUCGAUCCGCGGUACGUCCA